rnacentral:lncRNA from 1 species
AUGAACAGAGGCGGCUCCAUCCCAUUUCUGCUCAUUUCCCAGUGCGGUUACCUGGGGGCACGCCCCGGGGCCGCUGGCCCUCACCACAGGCCCGCCCCACACCCCCCGGGCUCUUCCCUCCCGCCACCCUUGGCACCGCCUUGGGUUCGGAGCAGGAGGGGUGGGCAGGGGCUCCUCCUGGCAUUCACCCCCUCCUGCCCACCUGCCGUCUCCAUCAGCUCCAGGGAGCUCCGCACGGCCCUGGGCCAGGGUCACACUACGUAUCCACGGGAUCCCCAGAACCGGCCACUGUUAGAGACUGGCCAGGAAGGGGGAGUGGGACGGGCAGCCCAGAACCCUGUCCUUCCCCGCGGACCCCGGGGCUCCAGAGGGGCCAGGGAUCCGGGGGCCCGGCGUCCCCUUCCUCCCGCUUCCACCCCUCAGGCCAUCGCGCCCAGCACCCUCCCCGCCUCCCUGGCACAAGGAGCACACGGCGGAGCCCUACAGAGUGAAUCCAGGCCCUGUCGCCAGUCCUCUGGCAGAUGUCGGGGCCCCGGGGUCCCCCCGGGGGCACCCCGCCUGCUCACCCAGCUGGGGGCCUGGCUCCCCCGUCCAGUGCUGACGCACCGCACGGACUUUGCAGCCCGCCUUCCCUGGACCCGGGCCCGGGCCACCCGCCCUCGUGGGGAUCCAUGUGGCAGUGACGGCGGGGACCAGGCUCCUGCCCCCGCUGCUGCCUGGCCUCUCUGCCGGGUGCCGAGGGCCCGGGGUGAGGGAGGGCACCACACUGGGGGCCGCAGCCCUGGGCAGCCGAGGGGACAGGCUGGGGGGCAGGGGACCAGCGUCCCCGCUGCCCUCUGCAGCACCCGCCCUCCGCAGCCCCACACUGCAAGCUCCGCUGCCCCCCGGGGUGUGGGUCCACCUUGGCCUGGCCCACACACACCUGCGGGGCGCAGUGGAGGCUGUGGGACGUCCCCGCCCAGCACCCAGCUGCUGGGGAAGAGGGCCUGGGGGCUGCAGACAGAGGCGAGUGUGAGGCACCAGGAUACAUUUAACACACGGAGCUUCUAG